GCCAGCAGCCAUAUCACCCUGCAACUCACAACUGGCAGCCCACUGAAGCUAAAGGUGUGAGCCUGGUCAGUACCUGGAUGGGACCUCCUGGGAAAAACUAAGGUUGCUGCUGGAA
rnacentral:rRNA from 1 species